GACGAACGCUGGCGGCGUGCUUAACACAUGCAAGUCGAACGGAAAGGCCCUGCUUUUGUGGGGUUCUCGAGUGGCGAACGGGUGAGUAACACGUGAGUAACCUGCCCUUGACUUUGGGAUAACUUCAGGAAACUGGGUCUAAUACCGGAUAGGAGCUCCUGCUGCAUGGUGGGGGUUUGAAAGUUUCGGCGGUUGGGGAUGGACUCGCGGCUUAUCAGCUUGUUGGUGGGGUAGUGGCUUACCAAGGCUUUGACGGGUAGCCGGCCUGAGAGGGUGACCGGCCACAUUGGGACUGAGAUACGGCCCAGACUCCUACGGGAGGCAGCAGUGGGGAAUAUUGCACAAUGGGCGGAAGCCUGAUGCAGCAACGCCGCGUGCGGGAUGACGGCCUUCGGGUUGUAAACCGCUUUCGCCUGUGACGAAGCGUGAGUGACGGUAAUGGGUAAAGAAGCACCGGCUAACUACGUG
rnacentral:rRNA from 1 species